rnacentral:rRNA from 1 species
AAUGCGUAGAUAUCAGGAGGAACACCGGUGGUGUAGACGGCUAUCUGGACCGUAACUGACGCUGAGACACGAAAGCGUGGGUAGCAAACAGGAUUAGAUACCCUGGUAGUCCACGCCCUAAACGAUGCAUAUUUGGUGUGGGCAGUUCAGUCUGUCCGUGCCGGAGCUAACGCGUUAAAUAUGCCGCCUGGGGAGUACAGUCGCAAGGCUGAAACUCAAAGAAAUUGACGGGGGCCCGCACAAGCGGUGGAGCAUGUGGUUCAAUUCGACGCAACGCGAAGAACCUUACCUGGGCUCGAACGGCUGGUCACCGCGGGUGAAAACAUCGGUACCCCGCAAGGGGGUCCAGUCGAGGCGCUGCAUGGCUGUCGUCAGCUCGUGUCGUGAGAUGUUGGGUUAAGUCCCGCAACGAGCGCAACCCUUGUCCUGUGUUGCCAUCAUUCAGUUGGGAACUCGCAGGAGACCGCCAGCGAUAAGCUGGAGGAAGGUGGGGAUGACGUCAAGUCCUCAUGGCCUUUAUGUCCAGGGCUACACACGUGCUACAAUGGCCGGUACAAAGCGCCGCAAACCCGCGAGGGGGAGCCAAUCGCAAAAAGCCGGUCUCAGUUCGGAUUGCAGGCUGCAACCCGCCUGCAUGAAGCUGGAACCGCUAGUAAUGGCAGAUCAGCACGCUGCCGUGAAUACGUUCCCGGGCCUUGUACACACCGCCCGUCACAUCACGAAAGUGGAUUGUACUAGAAGUCUGCGCGCUAACCGCAAGGAGGCAGCGGCCCAAG